rnacentral:rRNA from 1 species
UAGGGAAUAUUAGAAAUGGACGAAAGUCUGAUCUAGCAACACCGCGUGUGCGAAGAAGGCCUUCGGGUCGUAAAGCACUUUUUGGAAGGAAUAGGAAGGAAUGUACUUCCAGAAUAAGUCUCGGCUAACUACGUGCCAGCAGCCGCGGUAACACGUAGGAGGCGAACGUUAUCCGGAUUUACUGGGCGUAAAGCGCGUGUAGGUGGUUCUGUAAGUAGGGCGUGAAAGCUCCUGGCUCAACUGGGAGAGGCCGUUCUAAACUGCAGAGCUAGAGGAUGGUAGAGGGAAGUGGAAUUCCGGGUGUAGCGGUUGAAUGCGCAGAUAUCCGGAGGAACACCAGUGGCGAAAGCGGCCUCCUGGACCAUUCCUGACACUCAGACGCGAAAGCUAGGGUAGCAAACG